rnacentral:rRNA from 1 species
UACGGAGGUGGCAAGCGUUGUUCGGAAUUACUGGGCGUAAAGGGCGCGUAGGCGGCCUACUAAGUCAGACGUGAAAUCCCCCGGCUUAACCUGGGAACUGCGUCUGAUACUGGAAGGCUUGAGUAUGGGAGAGGGAUGUAGAAUUCCAGGUGUAGCGGUGAAAUGCGUAGAUAUCUGGAGGAACACCGGUGGCGAAGGCGGCAUCCUGGGUCGGAAUUGACGCUGAGGAGCGAAAGCCAGGGGAGCAAACGGG